rnacentral:tRNA from 1 species
UCUCUGGUUGUCUAGUGGUAAGGAUUCGGCGCUCUCACCGCCGCCGCCCCGGUUCGAUUCCCGUCCAGGGAA